AUUUAUAUAAUAUAAACAAGUAUAGUUGACUUCCAAUCAAAAAGUUUAAACAUUUUUAAUAUAAAUA
rnacentral:tRNA from 1 species